AUGGAAAACAUUGAAGGUGCCUCCGCAUCCUCUGGGCCGGCGAUCGAUGAUCCUGAUUCUGCUUCUAUUGAGGCAGCGAUGGGAGUUCCUGUAACUGUUAUGUUGGGGCCCAUGUGCACCCUUCUCCAGAAACUCCAUUCGCGAAUGGCUCCUGGACAGAGUAUGGCGCCAGAUCUGCUCGGCUUGAAAGAAGUCUUUCUUCUCAGUGAUAGCCUCCAGGAAAUAUGCAUCUCCCUUAAGAAUAUGUCUGACGAGGACCCUAGCUUCAUGGUUCAGUGGUGGGUGAAAAUAGUUCGCGAACUUUGCUAUGACACGGAAGAUCACCUGGACGAGGUCUACUACGCCGGGACCCAUCAUGAUUUUUCAGAAUUACUUGCUCGUGUGGAGGAUUUGAGUGAAAGCCGCAAAUGUUUGGAGUGGUCUCCUCGUAGGACUAUCGAACCAGCUGACCUGGGGAAAACCAAUGUCAGCCGCCGCACUUCCCUCCAGCUGCAGGUUCCCCUCCCUGUCCAUGUGGAGCCGCCAAAUAAUCUUGUAGAGCUGCUCGAUUUAGACAACAACGAGAAGGCACUCAAGGUGAUACCUAUACAUGGAUGUGCAGGUGUUGGAAAGACAACAGCUGCCAGAGCAUUGUAUCACAGGAAUGCAGGGAGAUUUCAGUGCCGGGCUUUUGUAACUGUGUCACGGAAUCCAGAUAUGAGGGGGUUUCUCACCAGCAUGCUUUCGCAACUUAAUGCACCACAACCCCAUGGUUUUCCUGAUGUGCAUGACCUUAUUGAUGCUAUCAGCGAACAUCUGCAAUGCAAAAGAUACUUCAUCGUAAUUGAUGAUUUAUGGACUUCAUUAGUAUGGAAUAUUAUUAGCCGUGCUUUUCUACGAUGUGAUUCUUGCAGUAGAAUAAUAACAACAACCCAAAUUGAUGAUGUAGCAUUGGCAUGCAGCAGUUAUGACUCAAAAUAUAUAUAUAAGAUGGAACCUCUUAAUGAUCAUGAGUCUAGAAAGUUAUUCUUUGGUAGAGUGUUUGGCUCUGAAGAUGAUUGCCCAAUAGAUAUGAAGGAAGUUUCAUAUGAUAUUAUUAAGAAGUGCAGUGGUCUGCCAUUAGCAAUUGUAAAUAUAACCAGUCUGUUAGCAAGUGAAUCAACCGACCUAAGGGAAAUGUGGGAGCACAUACAAGAUUCGUUGCCGUCCACUUCAGGAGACAGCAUAGAUGCUCCUGAUCUUUUGUGCAGCAUGCUUCCGCACUUCCUGUACAACAGCCUUCCACCUUGUUUGAGGUCAUGCUUGCUAUAUCUUAGUAUGUAUUCAGAGGGCCAGGUGAUCAACAAGGAUGAGUUGGCGAAGCUGUGGGCAGUUGAAGGUUUUCUCAGUGCUGUUGGAGGGCGAGACACACAAGAAAUUGCUGAGGAUUAUUUUGAUAAGCUUGUCAGGAGAGGUAUGGUCCAGGCCGUGGACACCAACAAUAACGGCGAGGUGUUGUCAUGUACAAUUCACCAGAUAGUUCUGGAUUUUAUCAGGCUCAAAUCUGUGGAGGAAAAUUUCGUCAUAAAUGUGGACCAUUUCCAAUCAUCUCUCGCACUUCCUGAUAAAGUUCGCCGAUUAUCCGUCCAGUUUGGAGGGGUAAAAAGCGCAUAUAUACCGGAAAGCAUCGUAACAUCACAAGUUCGAUCGCUUAUAUUUUGGGGUUUCUACAAGUGUGUGCCUUCGAUUAUGGACUGUGGGCUUCUUCGUAUUCUGAUUCUUCAUAUUUGGGCUGAUGAAGAGAACGAGAGUUUUGACCUCACUGGAAUCGGAGAGCUAUUUCUGCUGAAGUAUCUCGAGAUUGAAUGCAAUAUCACUGUCAAACUUCCAGAGAAAGACAUUAUUCCAUGGCUGCAACACUUGGAGACACUCCAAGUAGAUGCAAGAUUAUCUGCUGUUCCAUCACAUAUUAUCAAUAUGAAGAGAUUACUGCACCUCCGUCUUCCAAGCGAGUAUAUUCUGAGCAGUACAGUUGCUCAAAUGAUAUCACUUCGCACACUGGGCUAUUUUGAUGUUAGCAGUCACACAGUAGGGGAUGUUUUAGAUCUGGGAGAGCUGACCAAUCUUCAGGAUCUUCAGCUCACCUGUUCUAUGGUACAUCCUAGAGAAAAUCUUGAAAGAAAUCUUCAAUGCCUAGGCUCGAUUCUUGAGAAACUAAGAGUCUUGCAGUCAAUAACUCUGGUACUAGUUUCUUCAGGCUCCUCUUGUGUAAAUAUUCUUGACAAAGGCUUCAGGAUGGCGUCUCCUCCUAGCCCGGACCUGCCUCUUCGGAAGAUCGAGCUGUCAUGGCGUUGUUGCAUCUUCUUCAGCCUGCCUAAGUGGUUUGGAGAACUGAGGAACCUCUGCAUUCUAAAGAUUGCAAUUAGGAGACUGUCGAUGAAUGACACUGAUAUGCUGAAAGGACUGCCUUCCCUCACUUCUCUCACCCUAUAUAUCCAGAUAGUUUCUGAAGAAAAGAUCGUCAUCGACGAUGGGGGAUUCCAAGUACUCACCUACUUCAAGUUCAUGUGUUCUGCACCAUACCUAUCCUUUCUUCAAGGAGCAAUGCCCAGAGUCCAGAAGCUCAAGAUAGGGUUCAAUUUUAACCAAUGGAGAUCACAUUCCUUUGGAACAAUUGGUUUCCCUCACUUGACAGGCCUGACAGAGGUCUCCGUAAAACUUGGGGUUCGAAAUGCUGAUGAAGAAUUUGACAAAAAAGCUGCACGGUCUGUGGAGGCUGCCGUAAGGUGUCACCGGAACACUCUUAUACUCAGAUUACAAUGCAUGGAUAUGAUUUUUGAUGGCACUGAGGAUAAGCUUACCACGGCCGAAGAAGAAGAGAAAAAACGUGAGGAGAUCCAGAAAGGCAAGAAAAAGAUGAUGGAACGUUUGGAGGGAUAUCUGAACAAGCAAUUAGUGGAUAGCAGAUAUGCGAGAAAAGAUCCACUGACGCAUCAUGCACAAUCAUUCAACGUCGUGACGGGCGCCAUGAACUCCCUCCUCCCCAAGCUGCUUGACCUCCUCGAGGACGAGUGCACGCUGCAGAAGGGCAUCAAGAAGCUUGUCGACUCCCUCUACAUGGAACUGGAGGCUCUGCAAGCUGCUCUCCGUGAGGUGGCGAAGCUGGAGGCUAAACAACUAGAUGAGGUGCUCAAUACGUGGGCCAGGGAUGUAAGGGACCUCUCGCAUGAAGCUGAGGAUAUCGUCGAUUCCUUAGCAGUGCGCGUCGAGGGCUCUGAUCCUGAAACAAUACUAAAGGCCGGUAUUGUUGAUAUCCUUAGUCCUAGAACCUCUGCGUUGCUCAGCAGAGGGAAGGCCCGCCAUGAGAUCUCUGAUGCCAUCGAUGACAUGAUGUCAAAGGUCCAGGAUUUGGCCGCCCGACUUGAGAGAUACAAGGUCGGCGCCCACACCGCUCCUAAUCCAAAUGCCGCAGUUAGCUUUGACACUCCCUUGUCGGAUGUGUACAAAUACCCCAAAGAUAUGGUUGCCAUAAAGGUUCCAAGGGACGAGGUGAUAAUGAUGCUGACAGAUGGAAAUGUGAUCAAGAAGCUGAAGAUAGUCUCUAUUCUUGGAAUGGGAGGAUUGGGGAAGACCACUCUUGUUAAAGCAGUGUAUGACAAGAUUCGACUGCAGUAUGAGUACACGGCUUUCGUUUCAGUAUCUAGGUAUCCUGAUAUGACGAAAGUUUUGAUGGAGAUCCUUUUCCAAAUUGACAAGCAAAACUGUAGGAAUCUCAGUUUGCCAAAAUUAGAUGAUCAUUACCUUAUUGAUGAAAUCAGGAGACUACUUCAGAACAAGAGAUACUUGAUCGCUAUUGAUAAUAUAUGCGAUGUGAAUAUCUGGGAAAUAAUCAAGCUGGCUUUCGUUGAUAAUGGAUUUGGAAGUAGAGUAGUCACAACUACUCGGAUUCACCUGGUGGCCAGGAAGGGAGGUGAAGUUUACCAGCUAAAACAACUUACUGAUGAGCAAUCAAGAGAAUUAUUCAGUGCAAGACUGUUCAAUGGUGACAAAAAUGUCCCUCACAUCAUAGGGGAGGUGCCAACUAAGAUUUUGUCGAAAUGUGAUGGUGUACCACUGGCUAUCAUAACAGCAGCUAGUUUGUUGGUCGGAAAAUCAACGAAUGAUUGUUCCAAGGUGUACAACAAUAUUGAUUUCGGGUCUGAGUUUGAAGACAACACAAGAAAGAUACUGAAAUCUAACUAUUACGAUCUUCCUUAUCACUUGAGGGCAUGUUUAUUGCAUCUACACAUGUUUCAAGAGGACUGUAUAAUCAGGAAAGAAGCUUUGAUGUGGAAAUGGGCAGCCGAAGGUUUAACUGCAGAGGUACCUGGAAAAGGUUUAUUUGAGCUUGGAGAGGGAUACUUGAAGGAACUCAUAAACAGAAACCUGGUCAUGCGGGUUGAGGACGACUCAAAUCCUGGGAAGGUAAUUGGCUGCUGUGUCCAUGAUUUGGUUCUCGAUAUGAUCUGUUCCUUAUCAACUGAAGAAAACUUUAUUACCAUACUGGAUAGUAACAAGCAAGAACCCCCUGUCGAAAGCAAGACUCGCAGGUUAGCUGUCCAAAAAUGGGACACGGAGCAGGGCGACCCUCUGGCUAACAUUCGCCCAGAAAGGCUGAGGUCAUUUAACACCAUGGGGUGUCAUUUGAGUAUGGAACUAUCAGUUUCAAGGUUUAAGCUGAUGCGUGUCCUUGCUCUGGAAGAAUGUACGUUGUUUGAUGGAAAUCUUUCUCAUCUAGGGAAGUUACUUCUGUUGAGGUACCUCGGAUUAUAUAAGACACCUAUCAAAAAGCUACCGGAAGACAUAGGUGACCUGAUUUAUCUGCAGACACUGGACCUGAGGGGAACAAGUGUGAAAGAAUUGCCAGAGAGAGUGGCUGGGUUACGGCAACUCAAGUGCCUGCGAGCUGAUAAAGGCACAGCAGUGCCGGAUUGGAUGGAAAAUCUUACAUCCUUAGAAGAGUUGCGGCUGGGCGAGGUCAGCAGGUCCGCAGACUUCACGACUGAGCUGGGCAAACUGACAGGGCUGAGGGAACUUGAGAUUUGGAUUGACGAGUUGGAUAAGAACCAAAACAAUGCUUUGGUGCUGUCUAUGAGAAAACUAGAGAAAAUACAAGUCCUAAGAAUUAUGGGCAAUAGGUGGACAUCAGGGAGUGAACUUAAUUGGGAAGACUUCUACCCACCUGUACAACUCCGUGAGUUACACCUAUCAAGCAUCCCAUGCCCUCGGCUGCCCAAACGGAUCACCGUCUCCCGUGUUCCAAUGCUCUCUCACUUAUCUGUGUACGUAAAGGCCAUAAAGGAGGAGGAUCUGGAUCUCCUUGGGGCAUUGCCACAGCUCAUCAGUCUGGAGCUGCUAUCGCUGUGGGACGCCGUCCGCGAAAUCAAGGGUGGCGGUGCGUUCCCAAGGUUGAAGUUCUUUAACACGUUCUCACCAUUCAAGUUUCUACCAGGGGCUAUGCCAAGACUUGCAAUCCUUCACUUCGCACUACUCAUCACUUCCCGGGGGCCACUAGAUAAAUUCAAGGUUAAUUUUGAAAAUUACUUUGUUAACUCGAUGUUGGGGAACCUCCUUUCACUUGAGAAAGUGGAAGUGAGACCCCUUGAUGACGUCGAGGUGAUGUGUGAAGCAGUGAGGCGUGGACUGGACCAACAUCCGAACAGUCCAAGCCUUCAUAUCUUAAAAUAA
rnacentral:rRNA from 1 species